rnacentral:rRNA from 1 species
GACAGAGGGUGCAAACGUUGUUCGGAAUUACUGGGCGUAAAGCGUGUGUAGGCGGCCACGUAAGUCGGAUGUGAAAGCCCCGGGCUCAACUCGGGAAGUGCACUCGAUACUGCGUGGCUUGAGUACUGGAGAGGUUGGUGGAAUUCUCGGUGUAGAGGUGAAAUUCGUAGAUAUCGAGAGGAACACCGGUGGCGAAGGCGGCCAACUGGACAGAUACUGACGCUGAGGAGCGAAAUCGUGGGGAGCAAACAGG